AACUAACGCUGGCGGCGCGUCUUAAACAUGCAAGUCAAACGGGUAGCAAUACCAGUGGCGAACGGGUGAGUAAUACAUGGAUAACCUACCUUUAAGUUGGGGAUAACACAGAGAAAUUUGUGCUAAUACCGAAUGUGACGGUUCAGCGUAGGCUGGAUUGGUUAAAGCAGCAAUGCGCUUAGAGAUGGGUCCAUGGCUGAUUAGCUAGUUGGUGGGGUAAAGGCCCACCAAGGCGACGAUCAGUAGCCGGCCUGAGAGGGUGAACGGCCACAAUGGAACUGAGACACGGUCCAUACUCCUACGGGAGGCAGCAGUUAAGAAUCUUGCUCAAUGGGCGAAAGCCUGAAGCAGCGACGCCGCGUGAACGAUGAAGGUCUUCGGAUUGUAAAGUUCAGUAAGUAGGGACGAAAAAAAUGACGGUACCUACCUAAAGCACCGGCUAACUACGUGCCAGCCGCCGCAGUAACAC
rnacentral:rRNA from 1 species